CCGACUUCUCUCCUUUGAGUAUGGAGGGAGGCUGGGGGUGUGAUGUUCAGGUGUAAACUUUUCCACUGGUGCCAUUUGAAGUUAACUGGGAUGAAUCCACCCCAAACUAAAAGCUGACAAUUUCACACAAAGUGUGGGAAGGUGCACAGAGGCAUGGAACAUGGAAGUUGGAGCCAAAGCCUCAUGGAAAACCAAGCUUUGCUGACCUUCUGUUUAAUCCUCUGGUAAACAGUCCUUUCUCCGCUUGCCCCAAUGGAGGAACACUGAGGACUGCCCAGGAACUUGAGCCCAUGGUAUAUCAGCAGUGGGUUUAUCAGAGGUUUUCCCCAUAUUCCAUCUAUUUCUACAGGUGCUGCUGCUGCUCUGAACACUCAAUCUGCAUGAAUCUACUGUGGCAGACAGGAGUAGACCCUGGUUGCAUCAGCUGGAGCGAGUCUAGGAAGAUGAGAAUCAACUGGGAGAUAGAAGAAUCCUUGGAUGAAAGGAGCUUGAGAGUUUGCACAGGAGAGAGAGAAUCUGUGAGUGUCAUGGACUGA
rnacentral:lncRNA from 1 species